GUGCUUGCUUUGGCAGUACAUACACUAAAAUUAGAAUGAUACAGAGAAGAUUAGCAUGGCCCCUGCACAAAUUUGUGAAGCAUUCUGUAUUUUU
rnacentral:snRNA from 1 species